rnacentral:rRNA from 1 species
UGGGGAAUUUUGGACAAUGGGGGCAACCCUGAUCCAGCCAUGCCGCGUGAGUGAAGAAGGCCUUCGGGUUGUAAAGCUCUUUCAGCCGGGAAGAAAUUGCACGCUCUAACAUAGCGUGUGGAUGACGGUACCGGACCAAGAAGCACCGGCUAACUACGUGCCAGCAGCCGCGGUAAUACGUAGGGUGCGAGCGUUAAUCGGAAUUACUGGGCGUAAAGGGUGCGCAGGCGGUUUGCCAAGACAGGCGUGAAAUCCCCGGGCUUAACCUGGGAACUGCGCUUGUGACUGGCAGGCUAGAGUACGGCAGAGGGGGGUGGAAUUCCACGUGUAGCAGUGAAAUGCGUAGAGAUGUGGAGGAACACCGAUGGCGAAGGCAGCCCCCUGGGCCUGUACUGACGCUCAUGCACGAAAGCGUGGGGAGCAAACA